rnacentral:rRNA from 1 species
UACAGAGGGUGCAAGCGCUGUUCGGAAUUAUUGGGCGUAAAGGGCGUGUAGGCGGUCUGCUAAGUCAUGUGUGAAAUCCCUCGGCUUAACCGAGGAACGACGCAUGAAACUGGCAAGCUAGAGUACCAAAGAGGGGGGUGGAAUUCCCGGUGUAGCGGUGAAAUGCGUAGAUAUCAGGAGGAACACCGGUGGCGAAGGCGGGUCUCUGGGCCGAUACUGACGCUGAGGAGCGAAAGCGUGGGGAGCGAACAGG